AGCCUCUCUAUGGUGCUGCCUUGUGUCAAACCUGCGUGUCAAGCAGCAUCGUACAGGGCUUGGA
rnacentral:pre_miRNA from 1 species